UACGGAGGAUGCGAGCGUUAUCCGGAUUUAUUGGGUUUAAAGGGUGCGUAGGUGGUUAAUUAAGUCAGCGGUGAAAGUUUGUGGCUCAACCAUAAAAUUGCCGUUGAAACUGCAGGACUUGAGUGAAGUAGAGGUAGGCGGAAUUCCCGGUGUAGCGGUGAAAUGCAUAGAUAUCACGCAGAACUCCGAUUGCGAAGGCAGCUUACUAAACUAUAACUGACACUGAAGCACGAAAGCGUGGGGAUCAA
rnacentral:rRNA from 1 species